rnacentral:rRNA from 1 species
GACGGAGGGUGCUAGCGGUGUUCGGAAUUACUGGGUGUAAAGGGCGCGUAGGCAGUUUAUCAAGUUGGGCGUGAAAGCCCCGGGCUUAACCUGGGAAUUGCGUUUGAUACUGGUAGACUAGAGGACGGGAGAGGAAAGUGGAAUUCCUAGUGUAGAAGUGAAAUUCGUAGAUAUUAGGAGGAACACCAGAGGCGAAGGCGACUUUCUGGACCGAUUCUGACGCUGAGGCGCGAAAGCGUGGGGAGCAAACAGG